rnacentral:tRNA from 1 species
GGGGAUUUAGCUCAGCGGCAUAAGCACCUGCCUUGCAAGCAGGUGGUCGGAGUUCAAUCCCCA